GAGUUUGAUCCUGGCUCAGGAUGAACGCUGGCGGCGUGCCUAAUACAUGCAAGUCGAGCGAACGGACGAGAAGCUUGCUUCUCUGAUGUUAGCGGCGGACGGGUGAGUAACACGUGGGUAACCUACCUAUAAGACUGGGAUAACUCCGGGAAACCGGGGCUAAUACCGGAUAACACAUGAAACCGCAUGGUUUCAUGAUGAAAGACGGUCUUGCUGUCACUUAUAGAUGGAUCCGCGCUGCAUUAGCUAGUUGGUAAGGUAACGGCUUACCAAGGCAACGAUGCAUAGCCGACCUGAGAGGGUGAUCGGCCACACUGGAACUGAGACACGGUCCAGACUCCUACGGGAGGCAGCAGUAGGGAAUCUUCCGCAAUGGGCGAAAGCCUGACGAGCAACGCCGCGUGAGUGAUGAAGGUCUUCGGAUCGUAAAACUCUGUUAUUAGGGAAGAACAUAUGUGUAAGUAACUGUGCACAUCUUGACGGUACCUAAUCAGAAAGCCACGGCUAAC
rnacentral:rRNA from 1 species